rnacentral:tRNA from 3 species
GGACCUGUAGCUCAGUGGUAGAGCAGGAGCCUUUUAAGCUCUGUGUCGUGGGUUCGAUCCCCACCAGGUCCUCCA